CCGUGUUCUGGUCGGUGUGGACGUGGGGCUGGGCGUUCGUGCUGUUCGUGGCGCUGCCGAUCACGGCGGUGUACGCGGC
rnacentral:tRNA from 1 species